CCAGAUUCGCCUAGCAUCAAGUGCACUCAAAACCUAAUUGGGUGUUACCACAAUUUCCACAUUAUUGGCUCCUGUUUAGUUUUUCUUAUUAAAUGCUAUUACUUUGGAUCACUAGGGGGCAGUCUCUAUCCAUCUUUUAUUUACUUGUCUGCCGAAGGGAGUUUCCAAACAUUUCGUGGUUGUUGAACUUUAACCUCUUCC
rnacentral:lncRNA from 1 species